rnacentral:lncRNA from 1 species
ACUUGAUACUCUUAACUCAACUUGAGACUUGAAACGACGUUAAGACGUUCAAUAACGACUCUUGAAAAGCUUUAACGACUUGCCUUGACUUGCUUAACUUCUAAGCUUGGCGCUAACUUCACUUGACUUGGAAUCUAAUUUUCUUGAAUUGAAUUAUGGAUUCAAGGACUUGAUUGGUGUUUGGAAGGGUCUCAUGAUGUUUAGGAAUGAUUUAGGAAUGAUUUGGGACAGCCAAACUUAAGAAAAUCUUCGAACAUAAUUUCUGAAAACAGUGGAGUCCGCGUCCUGUCCGCGACGCGGAGAAGAUUUUUGUUCACAGAGGGAACAAGUCCGCGACGCGGACGUGCUCCUCGCAAGCUGCCCGACUUUCUCCUUCACGUCUCUAACUCUAAAUCUUCUAACCUCAAAGGUUCCAGCCCC